rnacentral:rRNA from 1 species
GGAUGAACGCUGGCGGCGUGCCUAAUACAUGCAAGUAGAACGCUGAAGGAAGGAGCUUGCUCUUUCCGGAUGAGUUGCGAACGGGUGAGUAACGCGUAGGUAACCUGCCUGGUAGCGGGGGAUAACUAUUGGAAACGAUAGCUAAUACCGCAUAACAGUAGAUGUUGCAUGAUAUCUACUUAAAAGGUGCAAUUGCACCACUACCAGAUGGACCUGCGUUGUAUUAGCUAGUUGGUGAGGUAACGGCUCACCAAGGCGACGAUACAUAGCCGACCUGAGAGGGUGAUCGGCCACACUGGGACUGAGACACGGCCCAGACUCCUACGGGAGGCAGCAGUAGGGAAUCUUCGGCAAUGGACGGAAGUCUGACCGAGCAACGCCGCGUGAGUGAAGAAGGUUUUCGGAUCGUAAAGCUCUGUUGUAAGAGAAGAACGAGUGUGAGAGUGGAAAGUUCACACUGUGACGGUAUCUUACCAGAAAGGGACGGCUAACUACGUG